UCGUCCUGCGGGUCGGGCUUCAUCGAGCCCAUGUCCUUGUCCGACAUCGAGCCGUGAUCGUGCGUGCCCUGCGCGAGGGCGCCUCCGGCCAGGCCGAG
rnacentral:tRNA from 1 species